UCGAGGUUUGGAGUGGCGACGGUGGUCGAGGUGGGUGCUGUCGGUGUCGGAGGAAGGGGACGAGGAGGGGUGCUGUACAAGGGUCAAUUGGGAGAGUUAAUUAGGAGAGUUAAUUGAGAGAGUUAAUUAUGGUGGAAGAGUUAAUUGGGAGAGUUAAUUAGGGUGGAAUAGUUAAUUAUUUGAGAUUAAUUAGAAUAAAUUAGUCUUCUGAUCUGCACAAAUCUAAGUUUAUUAAUAUUUUUAAAUAUAUAACUCUUAUAUAUUAUUAAUAUAUAUUUAUUAUAAUUUUAAAUAUAUAUAUUUAAUAUAUAUAUAAAAAUUAUAAUAAUAAUAUAUAUAGUAUAUUAAUUAUUAUAUAUUUAUUAUAUAGUCGAAUUUUUGAUCCCGAAUUUUUAAUUGGUGAACGUAUAAUACCCGUAAAAAUCACGUAUCCGAAUAAUUGCCGAAUCCGAUUUUUAGCCGUAUUUUUCAACAAAUUUAAAAAUUAAAAGACGAAUUUUAUCCGAAUUUUAUCCGUACCGAAUUUUUGCCGAAUCCAAAUUAACUAACUAUGCCUCCAGCCACCAAGGUUUGUUUAGCUGCGAUUGAUCUCAUCCGUUCACCUGUUCACUCCUGAUGUGCUUAAUUAAUUAAUUGAUAUUUGAAGGGCAAAUAAGAAAAGUAUUCGCUAUAUAAAGGAUAUAUAAGAAAAGUUAAUUACGGUAGAAGGGUAUAUUAGAAUGGACAAAAUGGUAAUUUUACAGAGAUAACGACAGCUCACUAACGGAACUUAACUCCAGGGAUAUAUUAGAAAGACUCGGAACAUAAGAAGGGUAUUUUCAAUAUUAGCCUUCUAAGAGGGGUCAAUAAGAAAACCAGAAACUUUUCAGGGUAUAUAGGCAAUUGCCCCUAAAAUCAAUAUGAUGGAGGUGUCUCCAUAUAUUUUUACCUUAAAAAAAAGAAGUUUCGUGUUUGCACGUAUCCACGGUAUCGAAUUGCUCCUUACAGUUUCGUUUGGUUCGAGGUUAAAUAAGAACUAGUUAUUUCAGAAAUAGGAUUAAGUUCAGAAUUAAGAUUGGGUUAGAGUAAAUUUGUGUUUGGUUGGGAAUUAGAUUUAGUUCAAGUAUAGAUAAAAUAGUGUUUGGUUGGACUAGGUGGAAUAAGAAUAUAGUAAGUUAUUACAAAUAGAAAAUAAUAAUUUUGCCCCAAUUUUUAUAUUUGAAUUUAAAAUUUUUAUUUUAUAUUUAAAAUUUUAAAUUUAAAUAGAUAACUUUUAAAAUUAAAAAAUUCAAAAUUAAAAUUUUAUUUUUAAAUCUCAAAUUUAAAAAUUUAAAGUUAUAAAAUUUAAAUCAAAUCUAACAAAUAAAAUAACAAUUUAAAAUUGAAAAUUUAAAAUUUAAAAUUUAAAAUAUAAAUUUUAUAUUUUAAAAUUUCAAAUAUAAAAUAUAAAAUAUAAUUUAAAUAAUUAAAAACAACAAUUUAAAAUUUUAAAAUUAAAAU
rnacentral:lncRNA from 1 species